GAUGAACGCUGGCGGCGUGCCUAAUACAUGCAAGUCGAGCGAACAGAUGAGGAGCUUGCUCCUCUGACGUUAGCGGCGGACGGGUGAGUAACACGUGGAUAACCUACCUAUAAGACUGGGAUAACUUCGGGAAACCGGAGCUAAUACCGGAUAAUAUCUUGAACCGCAUGGUUCAAUAGUGAAAGACGGUUUUGCUGUCACUUAUAGAUGGCUCCGCUCCGCAUUAGCUAGUUGGUAAGGUAACGGCUUACCAAGGCAACGAUGCGUAGCCGACCUGAGAGGGGGAUCGGCCAAACUGGAACUGAGACACGGUCAAGACUCCUACGGGAGGCAGCGGUAGGGAAUCUUCCGCAAUGGGCGAAAGCCUGACGGAGCAACGCCGCGUGAGUGAUGAAGGUCUUCGGAUCGUAAAACUCUGUUAUUAGGGAGGAACAAAUGUGUAAGUAACUAUGCACGUCUUGACGGUACCUAAUCAGAAAGCCACGGCUAACUACGUG
rnacentral:rRNA from 1 species